GAGGAUUUAGCUCAGAUGGUAGAGUGCUUGCCUCACAUGCAUAAGGCCCUGAGUUCAAUCCCCAGCACCUCU
rnacentral:tRNA from 1 species